GACGAACCGUGCGAACGUUAUUCGGAAUCAUUGGGCUUAAAGGGCGCGUAGGCGGGCGACCGCGUCGAGUGCUGAAAGCCUCCGGCUCAACCGGGGAACGGGCCUCGAUACGGGUCGCCUCGAGGCGAGGAGGGGGACCUGGAACUUCCGGUGGAGCGGUGAAAUGCGUUGAGAUCGGAAGGAACGCCGACGGCGAAAGCAAGGUCCUGGACUCGUCCUGACGCUGAGGCGCGAAAGCCAGGGGAGCGAACGGG
rnacentral:rRNA from 1 species